CGACCAAACCACUCGGUGAUAUAUCAGGGACAACGAAGAUCGCUCUUCUUCUCUUUGUGUCAAACAGGCUAACAGAAAAGUAUUGCCUGGGAACAGAACAGUCACUCGGUUGAUGACGCAAGGGUUUGUCACUUCUGCGUUUGCUGGAUACAACAGAAUUCCUUCCACACCGCCACCUACUGUUUCAGCCCUGUAACACCCACUCGUACUCAUGCACGGGCUGCUGCACAUGCUUUUGUGAAUGCAACAUCUGCGGGAAAGGUGUGAGUAUAUCCAGGUGCAGCACAGAUCCAGAUACCCAGUGUCAAAACACCCUGAUGUGUAGGUAACAGAC